rnacentral:rRNA from 1 species
GAAACGACUGCUAAGACUGGAUAGGAAGAUAAAAGGCAUCUUUUAUCUUUUUAAAGACCUAGUAAUAGGUAUGCUUUAGGAGGGGCUUGCGCCAUAUUAGUUAGUUGGUAGGGUAAUGGCCUACCAAGACGAUGAUGUGUAGCUGGACUGAGAGGUUGAACAGCCACAUUGGGACUGAGACACGGCCCAAACUCCUACGGGAGGCAGCAGUAGGGAAUUUUCGGCAAUGGAGGAAACUCUGACCGAGCAACGGCGCGUGAAUGACGAAGUACUUCGGUAUGUAAAGUUCUUUUAUCAAGGAAGAAAAGCAAAUGGCGAACCAUUUGUUUGCCGGUACUUGAUGAAUAAGCCCCGGCUAAUUAUGUGCCAGCAGCCGCGGUAAGACAUAAGGGGCAAGUGUUAUCCGGAAUUAUUGGGCGUAAAGGGUGCGUAGGCGGUCUAGUAAGUCAGUGGUGUAAUGGCAACGCUUAACGUUGUCCGGCUAUUGAAACUGCUAAACUUGAGUUAGAUAGAGGCGAGUGGAAUUCCAUGUGUAGCGGUAAAAUGCGUAAAUAUAUGGAGGAACACCAGAGGCGUAGGCGGCUCGCUGGGUCUUAACUGACGCUGAGGCACGAAAGCGUGGGGAGCAAACAGGAUUAGAUACCCUGGUAGUCCACGCCGUAAACGAUGAGUACUAAGUGUCGGGUUAAACCGGUACUGAAGUUAACACAUUAAGUACUCCGCCUGAGUAGUACGUACGCAAGUAUGAAACUUAAAGGAAUUGACGGGACUCCGCACAAGCGGUGGAUCAUGUUGUUUAAUUCGAAGAUACCCGAAAAACCUUACCAGGUCUUGACAUGUUUUUGCAAAAUGAUAGUAAUAUCGUGGAGGUUACCAGAAACACAGGUGGUGCAUGGUUGUCGUCAGCUCGUGUCGUGAGAUGUUAGGUUAAGUCCUAAAACGAGCGAAACCCUUAUCGUUAGUUGCCAGCACGUUAUGGUGGGGACUUUAACGAGACUGCCAAUGAUAAAUUGGAGGAAGGUGAGGAUCACGUCAAAUCAGCAUGCCCCUUAUGACCUGGGCUACAAACGUGAUACAAUGGCUGUUACAAAGGGUAGCUGAAACGCAAGUUCUUGGCCAAUCCCCAAAAACAGUCCCAGUCCGGAUUGAAGUCUGCAACUCGACUUCAUGAAGUUGGAAUCGCUAGUAAUCGCGAAUCAGCAUGUCGCGGUGAAUACGUUCUCGGGGUUUGUACAC